rnacentral:rRNA from 1 species
GACGAACGCUGGCGGCGUGCUUAACACAUGCAAGUCGAACGGAAAGGCCCUGCUUUUGUGGGGUGCUCGAGUGGCGAACGGGUGAGUAACACGUGAGUAACCUGCCCUUGACUUUGGGAUAACUUCAGGAAGCUGGGGCUAAUACCGGAUAGGAGCUCCUGCUGCAUGGUGGGGGUUGGAAAGUUUCGGCGGUUGGGGAUGGACUCGCGGCUUAUCAGCUUGUUGGUGGGGUAGUGGCUUACCAAGGCUUUGACGGGUAGCCGGCCUGAGAGGGUGACCGGCUACAUUGGGACUGAGAUACGGCCCAGACUCCUACGGGAGGCAGCAGUGGGGAAUAUUGCACAAUGGGCGGAAGCCUGAUGCAGCAACGCCGCGUGCGGGAUGACGGCCUUCGGGUUGUAAACCGCUUUCGCCUGUGACGAAGCGUGAGUGACGGUAAUGGGUAAAGAAGCACCGGCUAACUACGUG